rnacentral:rRNA from 1 species
GAUGAACGCUGGCGGCGUGCCUAGUACAUGCAAGUCGAGCGAACGGACGAGAAGCUUGCUUUUCUGAUGUUAGCGGCGGACGGGUGAGUAACACGUGGAUAACCUACCUAUAAGACUGGGAUAACUUCGGGAAACCGGAGCUAAUACCGGAUAAUAUUUUGAACCGCAUGGUUCAAAAGUGAAAGACGGUCUUGCUGUCACUUAUAGAUGGAUCCGCGCUGCAUUAGCUAGUUGGUAAGGUAACGGCUUACCAAGGCAACGAUGCAUAGCCGACCUGAGAGGGUGAUCGGCCACACUGGAACGGAGACACGGUCCAGACUCCUACGGGAGGCAGCAGUAGGGAAUCUUCCGCAAUGGGCGAAAGCCUGACGGAGCAACGCCGCGUGAGUGAUGAAGGUCUUCAGAUCGUAAAACUCUGUUAUUAGGGAAGAACAUAUGUGUAAGUAACUGUGCACAUCUUGACGGUACCUAAUCAGAAAGCCACGGCUAACUACGUG